rnacentral:piRNA from 1 species
UAUUAAGACUGCCUCUAAUUUUCGUGGAA